rnacentral:rRNA from 1 species
CCUACGGGAGGCAGCAGUGGGGAAUAUUGCACAAUGGGGGAAACCCUGAUGCAGCGACGCCGCGUGAGUGAAGAAGUACUUCGGUAUGUAAAGCUCUAUCAGCAGGGAAGAAAAUGACGGUACCUGAGUAAGAAGCCCCGGCUAACUACGUGCCAGCAGCCGCGGUAAUACGUAGGGGGCAAGCGUUAUCCGGAUUUACUGGGUGUAAAGGGAGCGUAGACGGCAGUGCAAGUCUGGAGUGAAAGGCGGGGGCUCAACCCCCGGACUGCUCUGGAAACUGUACGGCUGGAGUGCAGGAGAGGUAAGUGGAAUUCCUAGUGUAGCGGUGAAAUGCGUAGAUAUGAGGAGGAACACCAGUGGCGAAGGCGGCUUACUGGACUGUAACUGACGUUGAGGCACGAAAGCGUGGGGAGCAAACAGGAUUAGAUACCCCAGUAGUC